AUAGCUUACAGAAACUGGUUCAAUUUACAUGAUAGUUGCCAGCAUCCAAUAGUUAAUCGAUGUUAAAACUUAAGAGUAUCGAUAUUACACGUUACUUAAAAAGAUGUAGGCUGUGAAAUUCUAAUUAAUAAUAAAACUAAGUAGCUACUUUUGAAUUUAUUUGCUAGCCAGAUGAAAGAGUUAAAUAAAGAAACUUGACUAAUCAUACUACAUGAUAUGCUAUUAGCAAUUGACAUCACUGCGGAACAAACAUUAUUCUCUAGUACAAGAAUGGAAAUAAUUUUUUAAUAAGUGCUAAAAAAAUUUUUUUGUUGGUGCUAUUGUAAAUAGA